UACGUAGGGGGCAAGCGUUGUCCGGAUUCAUUGGGCGUAAAGAGCGUGUAGGCGGCCAGGUAGGUCGGUUGUGAAAACUGGAGGCUCAACCUUCAGAGGUCGACCGAAACCAUCUGGCUUGAGACCGGAAGAGGUUAGUGGAACUGCGAGUGUAGAGGUGAAAUUCGUAGAUAUUCGCAAGAACACCAGUGGCGAAGGCGGCUGACUGGUCCGGUUCUGACGCUGAGGCGCGAAAGCGUGGGGAGCAAACAGGG
rnacentral:rRNA from 1 species